rnacentral:lncRNA from 1 species
CUCUCCGACUUGCUACCUCAGCCCAAGCCGGUCUUCUAAGUGUUAAAGGGAAGGCUUGCGGGAGGGCGGAUUCCUAGAGAGGCAGGAAAAAACGGCGAGGAGCCGGAAGUGGAGGUGCGUCCUCUAGAGGCCGCCCACCUCCCCCGGCCUGCCCUAUUCGAAGGUUCCUGGGAGAGGUCGGUCGGAGCUUCGGGUCCGGUGGGGGGAAAGAAAGAGGGGUUGCAACGAGGGCGUCCCUAUUUCCUCCUUCCCCCCCUCAUGGGGCGGCCUGGAUAAAGAAGGGGGCUUUUGACCCACCUCUGCGGCCGAGCCUUGCUUUGGUGGAGGGAGGGAAGGGAAGCGCCUUUGUUUUUCCUACCCAGGAGAAGAUCAGGAUCUCUCCAGAGAAGGAAGUUACUGAAAGGAGCCUUCCUUGGGCGCGAGACAGAGCCUGCAGUCCAGGUGGAGCAUGCAGGAGGGUGACGGAGGCAACACCUCUCUAGGUAAAUGAAUCGUGGGACGUUGUUUAGAUCUCCCAAAACUAGAUUUGAAAUUUGUGGGUUGCCUUUAUAGCUCCAGAAAAUGUUUAUUUUUAUUAAUUUAAGAAAGUAUGGCUGGAAUUCAAUUGAAUAUUUGUCCCUGAUGGAAUUCCUAGUCUCAUGCUGGUUGCACAACUUGGCACGUGCCUAAGAAUUCAAUUGGGAACUUGUUAGCUAGUAUCUUCCACUUCAAGUUAAACCAGUGCACUUACUUGUUUAUUUGUUUGUUUGUUUAAUUUAUAUGCCACCCGCACUACCCAAAAAUUUCUGGGUGACUUACAACAAUUUACCAUAUUUUUCCAGGUAUAAGAUGCCCCCAUGUAUAAGACGCCCCUCACUUUUGUAAUCCAGGAUUAAACUAAGUGGGACUUAGUAAGUGUAGGGGAAAAGGAAUCAAAGUGUUGCAGGAUUACUAUGAUUCCUGCUUUCUCCUCCACUUGUUUUUCUCUCCCCAGCUUACUUCUAUGUAUAAGACAAUACUCAAUUUUUAGUCUAAAGAUUUGAGACAAAAGUAUAGUCUUAUACAUGGAAAAAUAUGGUAAAUACAAUAAAUGUAUAAAGAUAAAACA